rnacentral:rRNA from 1 species
CGGUACUCGCGAAUGCAUCCAGAUUNAUAAUUUGAUCAUGGCUCAGGAUGANCGCUGGCGUGCGUGCUUACACAUGCAAGUCGAACGUGAGGAAGCGACUUCGGUGGCUUCUGAAAGUGGCGAACGGGUGAGUAACACGUAGGUGACCUGCCUUACAGCGGGGGAUAACCAUUGGAAACGAUGGCUAAUACCGCAUGGUUCUGCCGGGAUGGGAAUCCGGGUGGAUAAAGCUGAGGCGCUGUAAGAGGGGCCUGCGGUCGAUUAGCUAGUUGGUGAGGUAAAGGCUCACCAAGGCGAUGAUCGAUAGCUGGUCUGAGAGGAUGACCAGCCACACGGGAACUGAGACACGGUCCCGACUCCUACGGGGGGCAGCAGUGAGGAAUAUUGGACAAUGGGGGAAACCCUGAUCCAGCAACGCCGCGUGAGGGAUGAAGGUCUUUGGAUUGUAAACCUCUUUUCUCAGGGAAGAGUGAGGACGGUACCUGAGGAAUAAGUCACGGCUAACUACGUGCCAGCAGCCGCGGUAAUACGUAGGUGGCGAGCGUUAUCCGGAAUUACUGGGCGUAAAGCGCACGCAGGCGGCAUUUAAGUCUGACGGUGAAAGCUCCCGGUUUAACUGGGGAGCAAGNCGUUGGAAAAACUUGGGGGUUGGGCUUGAGGGGCAACUUGGAGAAGGNGGGGUUGUUACGCGAAUUCCCUUG